rnacentral:rRNA from 1 species
CCUGGUGGCGAGCGGCGGACGGGUGAGUAAUGCCUAGGAAUCUGCCUGGUAGUGGGGGAUAACGCUCGGAAACGGACGCUAAUACCGCAUACGUCCUACGGGAGAAAGCAGGGGACCUUCGGGCCUUGCGCUAUCAGAUGAGCCUAGGUCGGAUUAGCUAGUUGGUGAGGUAAUGGCUCACCAAGGCGACGAUCCGUAACUGGUCUGAGAGGAUGAUCAGUCACACUGGAACUGAGACACGGUCCAGACUCCUACGGGAGGCAGCAGUGGGGAAUAUUGGACAAUGGGCGAAAGCCUGAUCCAGCCAUGCCGCGUGUGUGAAGAAGGUCUUCGGAUUGUAAAGCACUUUAAGUUGGGAGGAAGGGCAUUUACCUAAUACGUAAGUGUUUUGACGUUACCGACAGAAUAAGCACCGGCUAACUCUGUGCCAGCAGCCGCGGUAAUACAGAGGGUGCAAGCGUUAAUCGGAAUUACUGGGCGUAAAGCGCGCGUAGGUGGUUUGUUAAGUUGGAUGUGAAAUCCCCGGGCUCAACCUGGGAACUGCAUUCAAAACUGACAAGCUAGAGUAUGGUAGAGGGUGGUGGAAUUUCC